AAACCAACUGGGAUUACCUUAGUAACGGCGAGUGAAGCGGUAAAAGCUCAAAUUUGAAAUCUGGUACUUUCAGUGCCCGAGUUGUAAUUUGUAGAAUUUGUCUUUGAUUAGGUCCUUGUCUAUGUUCCUUGGAACAGGACGUCAUAGAGGGUGAGAAUCCCGUUUGGCGAGGAUACCUUUUCUCUGUAAGACUUUUUCGAAGAGUCGAGUUGUUUGGGAAUGCAGCUCAAAGUGGGUGGUAAAUUCCAUCUAAAGCUAAAUAUUGGCGAGAGACCGAUAGCGAACAAGUACAGUGAUGGAAAGAUGAAAAGAACUUUGAAAAGAGAGUGAAAAAGUACGUGAAAUUGUUGAAAGGGAAGGGCAUUUGAUCAGACAUGGUGUUUUUGCAUGCACUCGCCUCUCGUGGGCUUGGGCCUCUCAAAAAAUUUCACUGGGCCAACAUCAAUUCUGGCAGCAGGAUAAAUCAUUAAGAAUGUAGCUACUUCGGUAGUGUUAUAGCUUUUUGGAAUACUGUUAGCCGGGU
rnacentral:rRNA from 1 species